rnacentral:snRNA from 1 species
AUACUUACCUAGCAGGGGAGAUACUAUGAUCACCUAGGUGGUUUUCCCAGGGUGAGGCUUAUCCAUUGUACUCCGGAUGUAUUGACCCCUGUGAUUUCCCCAAAUGUAGGAAACUCGACUGCAUAAUUUGUGCUAGUGUUCACUGCAUC